rnacentral:misc_RNA from 1 species
AUACAGCGUCUCAAUGAAAAAUGCAGGUUUGUUGAUUUCUGGCUCUUGCAGCAUCCAGAAAUUCAUAACCAUUAGAAUGUUUCAUAUUUGUUUCAGAAGAAUCGGUAUACAGAAUUUCCCAGAUAUUUCUUCAUUCAGGUAAUCACAUUCUUGGUCUCGAAAUUGAAGACAGUCAGAGGAUCAGAGGCGACAGUGUUUAGGCAUGUGCAAUUUAUGGGAUGGACAACAGAUUCAAGCAACAGCGAAACUACUUGUCAAAUUUAUUUGAAUAUGGAUGCAGCGUCACAAUGAAAAAUGCAGGAACAAAUGCUGUUCUUUGACUGAACUUUGCACGCUAUGGCCAUUUUGUCGCAUUUCCGAGCGAAAAAAUGAAGAUCUCUCGACGAGUAUCAGGAAUUACUCGGUCCAGUCGACACGCUCGUGUUUCUGAGGCCGUGAUAUAG